GAAGGUUUCGAAAGCUACGGAGUGAGAAAAGGUCUGAUGAGUAUUUAUUUAGGAAUUAUGAUGUCACUGGUGACCUUAGCAGGAAUAGAAUCUGUAAAAUGCUAGGGGCAAAACUGGGUUACAGGAAGGUGAAGAGAAGACAGAGACUUCCUUUUCCAACAGUAUUGGCAGAGUAAAUAUCCUGAAAAUCUAUCCUGCUACAAAGCACCUAAAAGUAGUAGAUAGAAAAUGAAAAACACAUUUAAAUGCAUGCCUGCGUUGGAAAGAGUAAGGGAAACCACUGGAGUUAUCAGAGGCUAAAGGUUCUGGGAAGGACCAAUUCAGAGAACUGUAAGCAGUGAAAUCAUCUGUGAAUUCCAGGGGCCUGGGGCUUCAGUUGUGACACAGAUCAACUCAGGUCGGCACAAUGGGAGAGUUAGAUUCAAAUUCUGGAACCCAUAAUGAAUUACAUCUUCAGUGAAACUGCAAAUUAGGAAAAAAAUAAAAAUUAAAAACAACCUGCCCUGAAUGAAGAAACAAAUAAAACUGGUGAAUUUUUUGAGCAUCUUGUGAGAAUUUACAAGUCAGAGCUAGUCCUCAGAUGGCCCUAGGUUAGGGUCUGUGAUGGUGAAUUUUGUUAAUUUGACUGGAUUGAGGGAUACUUAGAUAGCUGGUAAAGCAUUAUUUCUGGGUGCAUCUGUGAGGGUUUUCUGGAAGAAAUUGGCAUUUGAAUCAGUGGACUGAGUAAGGAAAAUCUGCCUUCAGUGUGGAUGGGCACCAUCCCAUCAGCUGAGGACUAGAAUAGAAUGAAAAUGCAAAGGAAAAGCAAAUUUGUUCUCCUUCUUCAAGCUGAGACACCCUUCUUCUCCUGCUCUUGGACAUUAGAACUCCAGGUUCUCCAGCCACUGGACUCGGGCACUUGGACCAGCAGUUCCUGGGUUCUCAGGCUUUUGACCUUGUGCUGAGAGUCAUACCAUCAGCUUUUCCGGUUCUCCGUCUUGCAGAUGACCUUGUCAGAUUUCAUAAUUGUGAGCUUCUAAAAUAUAUAUUUCAGAAAUAAGGAAAAUGCUUUCAGAAAAACUGAGUUCAAGAAGAAAGGGUGAGCGAAAAUAAAGUGGUAAAUGUCACAAUGAUGCAAGAGGUGGGUUCCGACGGCCUUGGGCAGCUCCGCCCCUAUGGAUUUGCAAGCUCCUGGAAAGAAGUCUAUGGAUUAUACUCAACCUACACUCCAGUUAAAGGAACAUCUACACACAGAGGAAAUGAAUAACAUGAAGUGAAGUCUUCAUCUCCAUUCCCAACAGUCCCCAUUCUACUUCCAGAAAGGUGGCUCACACUGAAAAUCAGUUUAUUUUCCUCUGGUGCAAAAACAGUAGUUUCUCCAAAACUGAAGCUGGAAAUUAUCUGAAAUAUCUGGUCCUCCGGAAAAGGGACGUGAAGCCCCCUUUGUAAUUUCUGCAUUAGCGUGCUCUCCUGGCAAGCAGGAAACUUCAUCAGAGAAGUCAGCCAAGGAACGUCUUUAAAUGGAAAUUGUGCAAACGAGGAGCAAAUGCAUUAAAAAGUUGCUGACGGGCAUGAAAUGCUUUGAUGUGAAGACGGAAAACUCCAAGCAGGAAGGAUUUUAACAUUUUGAAUCUGAUUGGCUCUGUGGUUUCUCAGCACAGUUAUUCCAUGGGCUAAAAUAAAUGCAGAAAUGGUACUUUCAGACCACAGCUGCAGAGGGGAUCGUGGUGAAUUUCAAUGAAAAUCCAUUUGAAUCUUGAGGUUCGGAUCUUAAAAAAGCAAAGGACAUGAGAGAAGUAAUAUUGUUGCUUGAAAUUUCAUUGCUUAUAUCUAAAAGAAACUCCUAUUUUUAGGAGAAAUGUUGAAUCUUUGCAAUGUGGUAGAUGCUCCCACAAAACUUUCUCCUGAAAUAGGAGAUAAAUGUUGGAAAGAGGCAAUUUAUUGAGUAUGCUGACAGAGGUGGAGUUCAGAGACAGGCAAGCAUACAUAAGAGUCAUGAUGUUUUUCAUUAUUAUCUUUACAAAUGAGUUUCUUACAGUGGUCAAUGACAAACCAAUUUCAUUCAAAGCUUGCUUCAAUAGGCAAUGGUUUGAUGCCAAUAUGUUAGCUAUUUACUUUGACCACCGUAUGCAUUAAAAAGAAGAAAAAUUAAGAAUACUCAAGCAGAACCUCCAACUUAGAUAGCACUUUCCACAAAAAGUGAUGGAGGGAUAGACUGAAGUUAAGUGGGAUCAGGUAUGUGAUGAGAUCUCAGAAGUGUUUGCACAAUAAUGCAGAUACUCAUUUUAAACAGAGUCAUAAGGAUUGGAACUAAUAAAAAUAAUAGAAUAAAAUACCGAUCAAGAAUGUGUCCUCCUGAGUAUCUGGGUUUUGAAUUCUGGCUCCACAGAACUUGUCAGAUAUAUGACAUUAAACAAGAUACUUCAA